rnacentral:rRNA from 1 species
CGGUGUUUAACUGGCGUGAUGUGGGACGUCCUACCGGUGGGCUUAGCCUCGCGAGGGGCGGCCCAACUAAUAUCCCGUCGCGGUGCUCUUUACUGAGUGUCGAGUCGGGCCGGUACGUUUACUUUGAACAAAUUAGAGUGCUUAAAGCAGGCUAUCCUCGCCUGAAUACUGCGUGCAUGGAAUAAUGGAAUAGGACCUCGGUUCUAUUUUGUUGGUUUUCGGAACCCCGAGGUAAUGAUUAAUAGGGACAGAUGGGGCAUUCGUAUUGCGACGUUAGAGGUGAAAUUCUUGGAUCGUCGCAAGACGGACAGAAGCGAAAGCAUUUGCCAAAAAUGUUUUCAUUAAUCAAGAACGAAAGUUAGAGGUUCGAAGGCGAUCAGAUACCGCCCUAGUUCUAACCAUAAACGAUGCCAGCUAGCGAUCCGCCGAAGUUCCUCCGAUGACUCGGCGGGCAGCUUCCGGGAAACCAAAGCUUUUGGGUUCCGGGGGAAGUAUGGUUGCAAAGCUGAAACUUAAAGGAAUUGACGGAAGGGCACCACCAGGAGUGGAGCCUGCGGCUUAAUUUGACUCAACACGGGAAACCUCACCAGGCCCAGACACCGGAAGGAUUGACAGAUUGAUAGCUCUUUCUUGAUUCGGUGGGUGGUGGUGCAUGGCCGUUCUUAGUUGGUGGAGCGAUUUGUCUGGUUAAUUCCGAUAACGAACGAGACUCUAGCCUGCUAAAUAGGCGUACCUUAUGGUAUCGCGAAGGCCCCCGGCUUCGGCCGGUGGGUUUUUACUACCAACGUACAAACAAAUCUUCUUAGAGGGACAGGCGG